rnacentral:sRNA from 1 species
GUAGAAGUGAUAAUGGACUCAGGCUGUGAAGGUUGCCAUGGUUUCCGGUUCCGCUCUUCCACACGGAUUGCACCUGGCAGUGGGUGAGCUACUGUAGCCCCAGCCCGGCCACACCCUCAAGGGAGACCCGGAGCCAAAACCACCCCAGUCUCCCGACUGCCCACUCUCAAACACUGUGUGAGGUAACAGAUGUCUGUUCAAGCUCUAGGGUUCUAAGGUCAUUCGUUGCCUGGCAAUAAAGAGCUGACACACCAUCUGCACUGGAGUAUUCGUCUUUACUAUAAUGAAAUAUGGGAGAUGGGCUCACUUUAUAGAGAAAAAAAAGGCAUUGUUCAUAGUGAGGAGACUGGAGGGCACGACAAUGAUCCCAGCACUGUAAAUCCAACCACACAGGCACAGAAACUGAGGUAUCCAGGCUGCGGGACUUAAUUGUGUAACUGACUGUCUUCUUACCCUGCUACCCGAGCUGGAAUCUGUUUCCUACAGGCAAGACCCCUGCAUGCUAUAUAAGCACAGCUCCCCAGAACCGGGACUUCUGCUAGCCCCAAGCUCAACAGCGGCUGCUGUCCACCACAGAGGCAUGUCCAGGUAGCUGCUCUGCUACUCAGUUCGGUUAGAGAGGGCCAACUAACAGGGAUUCAGUUUGUGAGAAUUCGUUUUCUCACGUAUUAUCAAUGGGAUGAGGGGUUGGGAUUGGGGUAGUUAGAGGUGGGAUAUGAGUUUGUCCAGUUGGGGGUCCCAGAUUCUUCUGUUCUUUCCCCUGCAACACCUGUGGGUGCUGAUUUUCCUCCUUCCCUGGUCUCAAAGUGGCUGCUGGGACUCCAGAUACUACACGCCUCUCCA